rnacentral:rRNA from 1 species
GAUCAUGGCUCAGGAUGAACGCUAGCUACAGGCUUAACACAUGCAAGUCGAGGGGCAGCAUGGUCUUAGCUUGCUAAGACUGAUGGCGACCGGCGCACGGGUGAGUAACACGUAUCCAACCUGCCGUCUACUCUUGGACGGCCUUCUGAAAGGAAGAUUAAUACAAGAUGGCAUCAUGAGUCCGCAUGUUCACAUGAUUAAAGGUAUUCCGGUGGACGAUGGGG